UACGUAGGGGGCUAGCGUUGUCCGGAAUCAUUGGGCGUAAAGAGCGUGUAGGCGGUCCGGUAAGUCCGUUGUGAAAGUCAGGGGCUCAACCCUUGAAUGCCGGCGGAUACUGUCGGGCUAGAGUCCGGAAGAGGCGAGUGGAAUUCCCGGUGUAGCGGUGAAAUGCGCAGAUAUCAGGAGGAACACCCAUAGCGAAGGCAGCUUGCUGGGACGUUACUGACGCUAAGGCGCGAAAGCGUGGGGAGCGAACAGG
rnacentral:rRNA from 1 species